CAUCUGAUGGGGGGGCUGAAGAGGGGUCUCAGCCAUCUGAUGGGGGGACUGAAGAGCGGUCUCAGCCAUCUGAUGGGGGGACUGAAGAGUCUUCCAUCCUCCCACACUACCUGUGGUUCAACGUGCCCGGGCCCCCACCCAGCCUGGAAUCCAUGGCCACCCCUCCCCCACUGGAAUCCAUCGAGUUCGGGACAGCUCCCCCCAGCCCAGACCUGCAGCUUGGCCCUGGGGGCUCCCCCUGGACCCACAGCCGCCGCCUCCCCAGCAGCAGCAGCAGCAGCAUCAGGGGUGGAGCCCCAGAGGGAGCCGCCCCUGAAAGCUGCCGCCAAGCUGGGCAGCCUGAGGGCAGCACCCCCGCCUCUCCCUCUGCCCACAGCCAGGGCCGGCCGGGGUUGGCUAGAAGGGCCCUCCGAGCCUUCCUCAAAUUCAUGUGCUGUGGGGUACCCACCAGAAAGAGGCGUUCUAAAAGGAACAAAGUCAAUCCAAUGUAAUUUUUAAAAUUGAGAACCGACAAGGCAAGGGCCACAGUCAACUCGAAGGUGCGGAGCUCCAGGAAGGCCGGGCGCGUGGUGCUGGAGACGAGCCAGAGGCUGGACCCAAGCAGCCGGGGAGAGCGGGGCCAGGACACCCGCUGCGUGUGCAGCAGCACCGUGGUCUUCGGAACCCUGUUGCCCAAAAUGCCUGCUGAGCUGGGAAGACUGCGUGGCGCCCCCUGGAGGUCAAGAGGAGGGGCCGCCCUCGCUGUGGGCCCACCCCCCAGCCCCCACCUGACUGAAACGUCAUAGACUGGACUUUUUCCUGGGUCACUUUCCUCCCCUGCUCCUUGGCUCCCAUGUUUGUGGGGCUUCUUAUUAAAGCAUUUGGUUCUCCCCCCAGCCCCCCCCCCAAAAAAAAUAAAAGAAAUCAUUGCUUAAUCCUA